rfam:Salmo salar isolate Sally breed double haploid chromosome ssa12, whole genome shotgun sequence.
AAGCACCCAUUUUGUAAGUCGCUCUGGAUAAGAGCGUCUGCUAAAUGACUUAAA